rnacentral:rRNA from 1 species
AACGAACGCUGGCGGCAUGCCUAACACAUGCAAGUCGAACGAGACCUUCGGGUCUAGUGGCGCACGGGUGCGUAACGCGUGGGAACCUGCCUUUAGGUUCGGAAUAACUCAGAGAAAUUUGAGCUAAUACCGGAUGAUGUCUUCGGACCAAAGAUUUAUCGCCUUUAGAUGGGCCCGCGUAAGAUUAGCUAGUUGGUGGGGUAAAGCCUACCAAGGCGACGAUCUUUAGCUGGUCUGAGAGGAUGAUCAGCCACACUGGGACUGAGACACGGCCCAGACUCCUACGGAGGCAGCAGUGGGGAAUAUUGGGACAAUGGGGCGAAAAGCCUGAUCCAGCAAUGCCGCGUGAGUGAU